rnacentral:rRNA from 1 species
UACGAAGGGGGCUAGCGUUGUUCGGAAUUACUGGGCGUAAAGCGCACGUAGGCGGUCUUUUAAGUCGGUGGUGAAAUCCUGGAGCUCAACUCCAGAACUGCCUUCGAUACUGGAAGACUUGAGUCCGGGAGAGGUGAGUGGAACUGCGAGUGUAGAGGUGAAAUUCGUAGAUAUUCGCAGGAACACCAGUGGCGAAGGCGGCUCACUGGCCCGGUACUGACGCUGAGGUGCGAAAGCGUGGGGAGCAAACAGG